rnacentral:rRNA from 1 species
UACAGAGGGGGCGAGCGUUGUUCGGAAUUACUGGGCGUAAAGGGCGCGUAGGCGGCCUUCUAAGUCGAACGUGAAAUCCCCGGGCUCAACCCGGGAACUGCGUCCGAUACUGGAAGGCUUGAAUCCGGGAGAGGGAUGAGGAAUUCCAGGUGUAGCGGUGAAAUGCGUAGAUAUCUGGAGGAACACCGGUGGCGAAGGCGGCAUCCUGGACCGGCAUUGACGCUGAGGCGCGAAAGCCAGGGGAGCAAACGGG